rnacentral:rRNA from 1 species
AGGAUUAACGCUGGCGGCGUGCAUGAAACAUGCAAGUCGAGCGCGGUGUGAUGCGGGGUAACCCAAUUCACAUCUAGCGGCGAACGGGUGAGUAACACGUGAGCAACCUACCUUUGAGUUGGGGAUAGCCCUGGGAAACCAGGAUUAAUACCCGAUGUGGUCACAACAGGACAUCCUGAUGUGAGUAAAGGCGCAAGCCGCUCAAUGACGGGCUCGCGGCCUAUUAGCUUGUUGGUGGGGUAACGGCCUACCAAGGCGAUGAUGGGUAGCUGGUCUGAGAGGACGAUCAGCCACACUGGGACUGAGACACGGCCCAGACUCCUACGGGAGGCAGCAGUUAGGAAUUUUCCGCAAUGGGCGAAAGCCUGACGGAGCAACGCCGCGUGAGUGAUGAAGACCUUAGGGUUGUAAAGCUCUGUCGGAGGGGAAGAACACAAUGACCGGUACCCUCCAAAGAACGCCUCGGCUAACUACGUGCCAGCAGCCG